rnacentral:rRNA from 1 species
AUGGCGCCAGGGCCAGAUGGGUUCACCGGGGCCUUUUUCAAGGAAUGCUGGGCAACGGUCAAAGUGGAUUUGCUGGCUGCUGUUAAUUGCGUGCACAGCCUAAGAGGGCAGAAUUGGAGCAUCAUCAACACAACCAACAUCGUGCUUCUGCCUAAGAGAGAGGGGGCACAAGACGUGAAUGAUUUCCGGCCUAUUAGUCUCAUGCACAGCAUCCCAAAAUUGGUCAGCAAAAUGCUCGCCACGCGGUUGGCGCCUGAGAUUGAUCACCUUGUUGCCCACAGCCAGAGUGCUUUCAUCCGAGGGCGAUCGAUCCAGGAUAACUUCCUGUAUGUAAGGAAUGUGGUCAAGACUGCUCACAGUGCAAGAUCCCCCUAA